GAGUUUGAUUAUGGCUCAGGAUGAACGCUAGCUACAGGCUUAACACAUGCAAGUCGAGGGGCAUCAUGGUAUUAGCUUGCUAAUACUGAUGGCGACCGGCGCACGGGUGAGUAACACGUAUCCAACCUGGCUUUCACUCAGGGAUAGCCCAUCGAAAGAUGGAUUAAUACUUGAUGGUAUAUACAUUUCGCAUGUUUUGUAUAUUAAAGAUUUAUCGGUGAUAGAUGGGGAUGCGUACCAUUAGUUUGUUGGCGGGGUAACGGCCCACCAAGACUUCGAUGGUUAGGGGUUCUGAGAGGAAGGUCCCCCACAUUGGAACUGAGACACGGUCCAAACUCCUACGGGAGGCAGCAGUGAGGAAUAUUGGUCAAUGGACGUAAGUCUGAACCAGCCAAGUAGCGUGAAGGAUGACUGCCCUCUGGGUUGUAAACUUCUUUUAUAUGUGAAUAAAUUUUUCCUACGUGUAGGUUUUUGCAU
rnacentral:rRNA from 1 species